ensembl:lncRNA
AUGGGAAAAGGUUUCUACAUCAGCAAGCACCUGGCCAUAGCAGCUGUACUGCUGGCUGCAGCAGCUUUAGCCACCAUCGUAGCGUUAUCUAUAGUUUACUCUAAAGAAAAGGCCAAAAAGUCACAUCAGGUCAGCGAUGGACCAACAUCACGCAUGCCUCCCACUACACCACUAUCUAAUGAGCCCUGGGACAAAUACAGACUCCCCAACACCCUGAAGCCUCAGUUUUACAAUAUAAGUCUGUGGCCGAGGCUCAGCAUAGACGCUAAGGGUAUGUACGUUUUCACCGGCAGUUCUGGAGUAGCUUUCACAUGUGAGAAAGAGACGGAUCUGAUCAUCAUUCACUGCCACAAGCUCAACCUGACUCUUUUUGAUGGACGCCACGCAAAGCUAACAGGCAUGCAGGGAGCAACGGCUCCAGCCAUCAAGAAAACUUGGUUCCAGUUGGAAACGCAAUACUUGGUGGUUCAGCUGAAGGGGAGGCUAAAGCCAGGAAAAGCCUACUGGCUUUAUACCGAGUUCAGAGGAGAGCUGACGGAUGACCUGCAGGGAUUCUACAGGAGCGAGUAUGAAGAGGACGGGGUAAAAAAGUACGGCGUUUUUGAUGACAUUAGCAAAAGUGAAAUUUCAUCUCACAAAAACCUUCAAAUGGAUGGAAUUGAUGUUAUUAAAACUGUAUUUGAGCCCACAAAGACGAUGUCUACAUAUCUGGUCGCGUUUGUUCUAAACGGUUUUAUUAAUCAUGUUCUUUUCUGGAAGGUUCGUAUUUGGGCAAGACAAAAGGCUAUUGGAGAAGGUCAAGGUGACUAUGCCCUGAGCAUCACCCAGCCAAUACUGAAGUUCUUUGAGAAGUAUUACAGCACCAACUAUCCACUCUCUAAAUCAGACCAGAUUGCACUGCCUGACUUUAAUGCUGGAGCCAUGGAAAACUGGGGUCUCGUCACCUACAGGGAAACGUCUCUGCUCUAUGAUCCCAAAACCUCGGCCAACGGCAACAAGCAGAGAAUUGUGAUUGUGGUUUCUCAUGAGCUCGCUCAUAUGUGGUUUGGAAACCUGGUGACUCUGAAGUGGUGGAACGACUUGUGGCUAAACGAGGGAUUUGCUUCAUAUGUGGAGUACCUUGGUGCAGACUAUGCAGAGCCAACCUGGAACAUUAAAGAUCAGAUCAUACUGUAUGAUAUUUACCGCGCGUUUGCUGUGGAUAGCCUGGUCUCCUCUCACCCGCUGUCCUGCAAAGAGGAGGAGGUCAACAAGCCAGCGGAGAUCAGCCAAAUGUUCAACACCAUAUCUUACAGCAAGGGGGCUGCGGUGCUCAGGAUGCUCUCUGAAUUCCUGACUGAGCCGAUCUUCGCUAAGGGGCUCAGUACGUACCUGAACCAGUUUGCUUAUGGGAACUCUGUGUAUUCAGAUCUGUGGGAUCAUCUUCAGAAGGCCGUAGAGAAAACCCCACAUCUGAAGCUGCCGCACAGAGUGCAUGACAUCAUGAAUCGCUGGAUUCUGCAGAUGGGUUUCCCAGUGGUCACCAUUGACACCCAAACAGGAAAUGUGAGCCAGAAGCACUUCCUGUUGGAGCCAAACUCUGUGGUGGAAAGACCGUCUGAGUUCAAUUAUGAGUGGUUUAUACCAAUCAAGUGGAUGAAGAAAGGGGUAGAACAAGAUCAAUCUGUUUUUUCUACGGCAGAUCCAGGUGAUUGGGUUUUGGCCAACACUAAUGUUUCUGGAUACUACAGAGUCAACUACGACCCUGAGAACUGGGAGCGCCUCCUGAAACAACUGAGCUCCAACCAUCAGGUAAUACCACUGAUAAACAGAGCCCAGAUACUGGAUGAUGCCUUUAACCUGGCUAGGGCAUCCAUCAUUAACAUAACUCUCGCUCUGAGAACCACCAAAUAUCUCUCGCUGGAGAGAGAGUAUAUUCCAUGGGAGGCGGCUCUGAGAAGUCUCAACUCAUUAUUCCUCCUGUUUGAUCGCAGUGAAGUUUAUGGGCCCAUGCAGGCCUACCUCAGAAAACAGGUCAAGCCUCUGUUUGAUUAUUUUGCCAGUGUUACUGAAAACUGGGCGACUGUGCCUCCAGGCCACAACGAUCAGUUCUCACAGAUCAUCGCACUGUCACUGGCGUGUAAAACCGGGGUGCAGGGCUGCCGUGAACUCACCAAAACCUGGUUCAGACAAUGGAUGCAGGAUCCUAAUAAUAAUGAGAUUCACCCCAACCUGAGGUCCACAGUGUACUGCUAUGCUAUAGCUACUGGAGGAGUAGAGGAGUGGGACUUCACCUGGAAGAUGUUCAAGAAAGCGACAGUAGCAGCCGAAGCGGUUAAACUGCGCGCAGCUUUGUCCUGCACCAGAGAGCCCUGGUUACUCAACAGAUUCCUUGAAUACACUUUGGAUCCUAAUAAGAUCCGGAAGCAGGAUGCCACUUCCACAAUCGGAGCCAUCGCUAGUAACGUUGUUGGUCAGCCUCUGGCCUGGAACUUCGUCCGGGCGAGAUGGGAGUACCUGUUCAAAGAGUAAG